UGGGGAAUAUUGCACAAUGGGCGAAAGCCUGAUGCAGCAACGCCGCGUGAGUGAUGAAGGCCUUCGGGUUGUAAAGCUCUGUCUUUUGGGACGAUAAUGACGGUACCAAAGGAGGAAGCCACGGCUAACUACGUGCCAGCAGCCGCGGUAAUACGUAGGUGGCAAGCGUUGUCCGGAUUUACUGGGCGUAAAGGAUGCGUAGGCGGAUUUUUAAGUGAGAUGUGAAAACCCUAAGCUUAACUUGGGGACUGCAUUUCAUACUGGAAAUCUAGAGUGCGGGAGAGGAGAAUGGAAUUCCUAGUGUAGCGGUGAAAUGCGUAGAGAUUAGGAAGAACACCAGUGGCGAAGGCGAUUCCCUGGACCGUAACUGACGCUGAGGCAUGAAAGCGUGGGUAGCAAACAGGAUUAGAUACCCUGGUAGUCCACGCCGUAAACGAUGAGUACUAGGUGUAGGAGGUAUCGACCCCUUCUGUGCCGCAGUUAACACAAUAAGUACUCCGCCUGGGAAGUACGAUCGCAAGAUUAAAACUCAAAUGAAUUGACGGGGUCAUAGCUGUUUUCCU
rnacentral:rRNA from 1 species